GCGCUUCCGCCGCACAGAGCCUGACGAAGGCUUGGGCUCCCCGCGCGGUGACCGUCGAGGUGACCUGCACCUGGCUCCAUGGCGGAACCGGCUGGCACGGAUUAUUCCCCUCUCGGGAGAGGUCUGCAGCCGGGCUUCAGUGCUUCAGUUCGUGGCCUGGCAUUUUGUGAAGAGUGUCUUCAUCUCUGCAUCCCUAGUGCAACAGAGCAUGAUAAAAAUUCAAUAAAUAUUUAUUGAAGAGUCUUGAUGUCUUUUGGGAAAGGAACUCUAUGGUUACCUUUACUCUAAGAUUAGAUGGGUGUUACUGAUUCUUACCUCAGAGAAGAGAAUGUCAUGGAGACAAAAUGAUCUGCUUAGAGUUCUGCACCCCCCAGCAUGGAGAGCAGAGCGCAAAGAUUUCUUCCGGACUCUCACAUUCCCCUUGGAAUCCAAGAACUGGUCUACUGUCACAACACUUUAGUACCCUCUUCUCCCAAGGAGGCAGCAGAAACUGGGGUAAUCACAACGGUCAACAGCAGCAAAGGCAGCACUUUCUGAUUUACUUGACUGCUAUGGAUGCCACCUAUCUCCACGCCUCAGUUUAAUAUCUGUAAGUUUGGUCAGUAUCUCAUUCAAGAACAUUGCAUUUACUCUGGUACUUAAAGAUGAAAAAUCAACAUUUACAAAGCAGAUCCAUUGUCAACAUAAAUAACAAACAAAGAGAGUCUCU